ACCUGACUUUAUCUGUAACUUAAUUACCAUGAAGUCCCAUGUGUGGUCUGCAGAGCUGCAUAAAUUAAUAAUGCUGUAAUUGCAGAGUUCACCUCCCGGGAUCCUUGCUGCGCCUUUCUCCCAAGAACCUGCAUUUGUUAGCUGGAGUCACUAUUUCAUUUUUAUCCGAUGACAUUUCUGAUGUACAACCGUAUGCUGCUGCUGCUGAGUCACUUCAGUCAUGUCCGACUCUGUGCGACUUCAUAGACGGCAGCCUACCAGGCUCCUCUGUCCACAGGAUUCUCCAGGUAAGAAUACUGGAGUGGGUUGACAUUUCUUUCUCCAUACAACACUAUAGUUAUUAUUGUUUUAGGAAAAUUAUUUAACAACUGCUAGUUGCAUUUUACUACCUAAAGAGCGGAGAGUUUAGCAUAAUAGGAACUGAACAUUGAGGAAAUGCUACAGAGCUCUGAAUUAUGAUGCUGAAUCUUUUCUCCUUUAGCAAUGAAAAGGAGAAAGCUAGGAAGGAAGCUUGUGUCAUACUUCUAAAAUAGCACAUCACCAGCUUUUCUGGUGGUCCAGUGGUUAAUAUUUUGUGCUUUCAGGGCAGGAGGCAAAGGUUCAAUCCCUGGUCAGGGGACUAAGAUCCCACGUGCUGCACGGUGCCACCAAAGAAAUUAUAAGUAAAUUAAUAAAUAAAAUAACACACACCUAAAGACCAUUACAGGUGGCUCAGUGGAUAAAGAACCAGCUUGCCAAUGUAGGGCACUGGGGUUUGAUCCCUGAGUCAGGAAGAUCCCGGUAGGAGGAAAUGACAACCUACCCCAAUAUUCUCGCCUGGAAAAUCCCAUGGAUAGAGAAGCCUGGCAGGCUGCAGUCCAUGUGAUUGUAUAGAGUCAGAUGUAACUGAGCUCCUGAGCAUGCACACAAAAGACUGUUAUGUAAGUAAGAUAUUGCCUUUGGCCAAAUGUUUUACUGAGCAUUCAGUUACUAGAAAGAGAAGCUAAGAAGAGAAGAGGA
ensembl:lincRNA